GACCCAGUGGCCAAUGGUGGCGCCGGCACCACAUUGGUAGGCGAUGAUUAAUGCAAGCGGGAAGUCCUGGUUCGAUUCCGGGUUGGGUCA